UUCGGGGUACACGAGCGGCGAACGGGUGAGUAACACGUGGGUGAUCUGCCUCGCACUUCGGGAUAAGCCUGGGAAACUGGGUCUAAUACCGGAUAUGACCUGCUGUCGCAUGGCGGUGGGUGGAAAGAUUUAUCGGUGCGAGAUGGGCCCGCGGCCUAUCAGCUUGUUGGUGGGGUAAUGGCCUACCAAGGCGACGACGGGUAGCCGGCCUGAGAGGGCGACCGGCCACACUGGGACUGAGACACGGCCCAGACUCCUACGGGAGGCAGCAGUGGGGAAUAUUGCACAAUGGGCGAAAGCCUGAUGCAGCGACGCCGCGUGAGGGAUGACGGCCUUCGGGUUGUAAACCUCUUUCGACAGGGACGAAGCGCAAGUGACGGUACCUGUAGAAGAAGCACCGGCCAACUACGUGCCAGCAGCCGCGGUAAUACGUAGGGUGCGAGCGUUGUCCGGAAUUACUGGGCGUAAAGAGCUUGUAGGCGGUUUGUCGCGUCGUCCGUGAAAACUUGGGGCUCAACCCCAAGCUUGCGGGCGAUACGGGCAGACUUGAGUACUGCAGGGGAGACUGGAAUUCCUGGUGUAGCGGUGAAAUGCGCAGAUAUCAGGAGGAACACCGGUGGCGAAGGCGGGUCUCUGGGCAGUAACUGACGCUGAGAAGCGAAAGCGUGGGUAGCGAACAGGAUUAGAUACCCUGGUAGUCCACGCCGUAAACGGUGGGUACUAGGUGUGGGUUUCCUUCCACGGGAUCCGUGCCGUAGCUAACGCAUUAAGUACCCCGCCUGGGGAGUACGGCCGCAAGGCUAAAACUCAAAGGAAUUGACGGGGGCCCGCACAAGCGGCGGAGCAUGUGGAUUAAUUCGAUGCAACGCGAAGAACCUUACCUGGGUUUGACAUACACCGGAAACCUGCAGAGAUGUAGGCCCCCUUGUGGUCGGUGUACAGGUGGUGCAUGGCUGUCGUCAGCUCGUGUCGUGAGAUGUUGGGUUAAGUCCCGCAACGAGCGCAACCCUUAUCUUAUGUUGCCAGCGCGUAAUGGCGGGGACUCGUGAGAGACUGCCGGGGUCAACUCGGAGGAAGGUGGGGACGACGUCAAGUCAUCAUGCCCCUUAUGUCCAGGGCUUCACACAUGCUACAAUGGCCGGUACAGAGGGCUGCGAUACCGUGAGGUGGAGCGAAUCCCUUAAAGCCGGUCUCAGUUCGGAUCGGGGUCUGCAACUCGACCCCGUGAAGUUGGAGUCGCUAGUAAUCGCAGAUCAGCAACGCUGCGGUGAAUACGUUCCCGGGCCUUGUACACACCGCCCGUCACGUCAUGAAAGUCGGUAACACCCGAAGCCGGUGGC
rnacentral:rRNA from 1 species